AUGGGCCCGGCCCCCGCCACCGCCUCCCGCGCCGCGGCCUUCCCCACCUCCGCCGACGUCGCCCUCGCCGGCGCGCUGCUCUGCCUCGCCGACUCCCCGCCCGCGCCGCUCCUCCCCACCCUCAGCGACGAGCUCCCCUCCUACUCGGGCUCCUCCUCCUCCUACUCCGUCACCUCGGCGAGGUCGUGCGUGUCCGACGCGGCGCGCCGCAGCCGCCCCAUCGACCCCCUCCGCGUGCUCGCCGUCAUCGCCUCCCUCCGCCGCGUCGACCCCAAGGUGCUGGUGCAGGCGACCAGCAAGCUGUUCCAGGGCGAGCUGGCGAAGAGGCGGAAGGGAGUGUGGAUCGAGGUCAUCAACGGCGAGGAGGAGGAGGGCGGGGAGGAGAGCGAGAGGGGCAGCGUGGUGGCCAGCGAGGGGAGCACCAUCACGGGACCCGCGUCCUCCCGGUCCACGGCCACGUCGGGGAGGUGCCGCCGACCUCCGCUGGCGAGCGGUGGUGGUGACGCUCUGCUGCGGAGAGCGGACUCGAUCAUGAAGUGGCUCUCACGGCCGAAGGCGGGGCCGGCCACAGAGACGGCCAUCCGCGCCGCCGUCGGCGACAACGCUGUGACCAGCAAGGCUCUGCGCUGGUUGCUGAAGCAGAAAAGGGGGUUGCGUCGUGCAGGCACUGGUGGCCGCCCGGAUCCGUAUGUGUACAUGAUUGCAGGCUGA
rnacentral:rRNA from 1 species